GAUGAACGCUGGCGGUGUGCCUAAUACAUGCAAGUCGAGCGAACAGACGAGGAGCUUGCUCCCCUGACGUUAGCGGCGGACGGGUGAGUAACACGUGGAUAACCUACUUAUAAGACUGGGAUAAUUUCGGGAAAACGGAGCUAAUACUGGAUCAUAUAUUGAACCGCAUGGAUCAAUAGUGAAAGACGGCUUUGACGUCUCUUAUAGCUGGAUCCGCGCUGCAUUAGCUAGUUGGUAAGGUAACGGCUUACCAAGGCGACGAUGCGUAGCCGACCUGAGAGGAUGAUCAGCCACACUGGAACUGAGACACGGUCCAGACUCCUACGGGAGGCAGCAGUGGGGAAUCUUCGGCAAUGGGCGAAAGCCUGACGGAGCAACACCGCGUGAGUGAUGAAGGUCUUCGGAUCGUAAAGCUCUGUUGUUAGGAAAGAACAAAUGUGUAAGUAACUAUGCACGUCUUGACGGUACCUAAUCAGAAAGCCACGGCUAACUACGUG
rnacentral:rRNA from 1 species